CCCUUUUCUACAAUUCCUUUACGGGAGAGGGUUCCAGCGGCUUCCACAUUUAUCAACCCAUGUGCCUGAUAGGUGCCUUUUUAUUGUGGUGGGCUUGGUGUUCGGGGGACUCUUUAGGGCCGGUGAACAGGAAGUCCCACAAAUCCUCCAUAAAUUAUCCCCCCCCAAAAAAAAAAAUUGUCAAGCAAGUUCCAAUACACAGUGGAUCAAAAAUUAAAAGGAGUGCCGAUCAAAUGGACCAAUACGGCAAGGCCAUGAUGAUCCAUUUGGCAAAAUAAAUCCAUUGGGUAUCCUUGUUGGUCUUCAGACAACAAUUCUGAUGGCUAAAGAACCCAAUGGGACAGGCAAAAAAAAAAAAAAGGAGUGCCACUGCACAGUGUCUCCCCCCUCAGCAGAAAAGAGCCAGCCCCAUCCCUCAGCCCAGCCACACAUCCACCAUAGGCCUGAUUUGCCCCAGCUGUGUUUCCCUCCUGUUGCCCAUUCCCUGAUUGCUCCCUCCAUGUAUUUAAGCCCUGUGUUUCAGUUUGUCUGGGUCGCGAUCUACCCUUAUCUAGCUGUGUGUUCUGUUGGCGUAAGUUCACCUUGGACUCUCAGUUUUGUUACCUUUUUUGAGUUCAGCAUUAAAGCUGUUUUGAGUUCACCUUUUGCCUCCGAGCGUCUGCACUUUGGGUCCACCAUUCCUGCCUGCACACAGCCUUCACAUAACAAGAGGUGAUUCUUGCUCUUCCUUCUUGAGAGGCCUCAUGCUUGGUUUUAUACGAUUUUUGGAGGUGUUGGGGAUGGGCGGUAGAAACGGUAUACAGUAGAAACGAUAUAAAUUUGGCCAACGGUAGAGAUUUUGACUAUACCGCUCUACCGUGAUAGCGCAUGUUGAUGGUGUCAUCAAGCCGCGGCUGUUUUGGUUGAAAGCAUUGCAGCGGCUGCAAACAACAUCAUCUGCAAAUGAUGCCAGGCGACAGUAAUAGCAAAGAGACAAAGCACUUUUGGAAUAUGGGAAAAGCCAACAACUGCGCUUCCUCCACUUCCCUACCAUUGAUUUAUUAAUGUUCUCUCGCAGCUGCUCUAUUCCCAUGUUGUUGCAGUAUAUUAAUGACUAACCUCAUAUUGUGGAUGGUUUAUCUCAGCUACUUGUUUUUGUGGUACCCUGGCUUUCAUUCAAAAUUUGUUUAUCGUGACCACCUACUAGGGUUGCCACAAACAAUUAUUUUGAUAGUCGACUAGUCACUGAUUAUUUUUGCAAUUAGACCAGCGGUCCCCAACUUUUUUUGCA